rnacentral:rRNA from 1 species
UACGUAGGUGGCAAGCGUUUGUCCGGAUUUACUGGGCGUAAAGAGCGCGCAGGCGGUCGUUCAAGUCGCGUGUGAAAGCCCCCCGGCUCAACUGGGGAGGGUCACGCGAUACUGAUCGACUCGAAGGCAGGAGAGGGUAGUGGAAUUCCCGGUGUAGUGGUGAAAUGCGUAGAUAUCGGGAGGAACACCAGUGGCGAAGGCGACUACCUGGCCUGUUCUUGACGCUGAGGCGCGAAAAGCUAGGGGGAGCAAACGGGG